rnacentral:rRNA from 1 species
GAUUCAUGAUAACUUUACGAAUCGCAUGGCCUUGUGCCGGCGAUGGUUCAUUCAAAUUUCUGCCCUAUCAACUUUCGAUGGUAGGAUAGUGGCCUACCAUGGUUUCAACGGGUAACGGGGAAUUAGGGUUCGAUUCCGGAGAGGGAGCCUGAGAAACGGCUACCACAUCCAAGGAAGGCAGCAGGCGCGCAAAUUACCCAAUCCCGACACGGGGAGGUAGUGACAAUAAAUACUGAUACAGGGCCCUUUCGGGUCUUGUAAUUGGAAUGAGUACAAUUUAAAUCCAUUAACGAGGAACAAUUGGAGGGCAAGUCUGGUGCCAGCAGCCGCGGUAAUUCCAGCUCCAAUAGCGUAAUAUUAAAGUUGUUGCAGUUAAAAAGCUCGUAGUUGAACCUUGGGUCUGGGUGACUGGUCUCCCCUUACUGGGUGCACUGAAAACCCGGACCUUUCCCUUCUGGCAAACCUCCAUGCCCUUUACUGGGUGGUGUUGGGGAACCAGGACUUUUACAAGGGCGAAUUCCCCGCCCCC